UCCUACGGGGGGCAGCAGUGAGGAAUAUUGGUCAAUGGGCGGGAGCCUGAACCAGCCAAGUCGCGUGAGGGAAGACGGUCCUAUGGAUUGUAAACCUCUUUUGUCGGGGAGCAAAGAGAGUCACGUGUGACUCAUUUAGAGUACCCGAAGAAAAAGCAUCGGCUAACUCCGUGCCAGCAGCCGCGGUAAUACGGAGGAUGCGAGCGUUCUCCGGCUUUAUUGGGUUUAAAGGGUGCGCCGGCGGAGGUGCAAGUCAGCUGUCAAAUUGCGGGGCUCAACCCCGUACUGCCGUUGAAACUGCAUCC
rnacentral:rRNA from 1 species